rnacentral:sRNA from 1 species
GACUGGGAUGUAACGUGCGUACCGUCUGAAUUUCUAGCCCUUGUAAGGACUUAUUAACUACGCUUCUCUAGGUCUUCCAAGGUUUCCUAGUUGAAUACUCGUUGUCGUUGGCCAUCUCUCUGGUUGGUUUUUGGCACCGGACUGCAAUAUAAUCCAAUUGAUGUACGGCGCCAUUUGGCUUUGCAUCGAGAAGUCAAACUACAGUAAUUAAAGGUGUGAAUCUUGGGAAGGGGAAAAAAGAAAGAAGAAAGCUAAAUUUGAAUCACAUUCUGCAUGUCUUCGGAAUAUUUUUGUGAUGUGGUUCACAGUGCAUAUGACGGGAUGGGCGACGUGCAGCAUCGUCGCACCGGAUUUUGCUUCCAGUCCACUGGCCAAUAGCCAAGUUCAAGUGUGAUAGCAAAAUGGAACGCCUGCAUAACAUCAAACAAUCACGAUUGCAAGGGCUUUUGUUUUGGCGAGACGUGUCAUAAUCAUCAUGGAGCUUCCUCGACUGCAGGCUCUGGUAACGGAAAUCCCUUGCGUUGUUGGACAUGUGGCGCCAACAAAGGGCAGUGAGCGUGAUACAUAGUUCAAGGAAGGGAGAAUGUCAUGGAGAGAGAUGAUCGAAAGCGGCGAAUUAAGACUGUUGGGGGUAGCACAGCCAUGUGCAGUACCAUUGAGAUGCAUUCGAUCUUUUGGUGUCUCGGCCCCCGCAUACCAGAAAUAUCGCCGUCAUUCUUUCCAAUGUCUCGAACGCCCAACAUCGACAAAAUGCGGAACCGAUCGCGGUUCGCUGGGAUGGAAAAUACAACUG